rnacentral:rRNA from 1 species
UAAACUUUUGGGAUUAGAUACCCCACUAUGCCUAGCCGUAAAAUAUUUACUUACAUACUCAACCGCCAGGGAAUUACGAGCCCAAGCUUAAAACCCAAAGGACUUGACGGUGUCCCACCCACCUAGAGGAGCCUGUUCUAUAAUCGAUUCCCCCCGAUACACCUCACCACUUCUAGCCUACUCAGCCUGUAUACCUCCGUCGUAAGCUUACCAUAUGAACGUCUAACUAGUGAGCUAAAAGAUUUUUCAUCAACACGUCAGGUCAAGGUGCAGCCAACGAAGUGGAAAGCAAUGGGCUACAAUUUCUAACCUAGAACAAACGAAAGACCACAUGAAACACGGUCAUGAAGGCGGAUUUAGUUGUAAAAAGAAAACAGAGAGUCUUACCAGCAGCCG